rnacentral:rRNA from 1 species
AUUGAACGCUGGCGGAAUGCUUUACACAUGCAAGUCGAACGGUAGAGGGGCAACCCUUGAGAGUGGCGAACGGGUGAGUAAUGUAUCGGAACAUGCCCAAUCGUGGGGGAUAACGUAGCGAAAGUUACGCUAAUACCGCAUACGAUCUACGGAUGAAAGCGGGGGAUCGCAAGACCUCGCGUGAUUGGAGUGGCCGAUAUCAGAUUAGGUAGUUGGUGGGGUAAAGGCCUACCAAGCCGACGAUCUGUAGCUGGUUUGAGAGGACGACCAGCCACACUGGGACUGAGACACGGCCCAGACUCCUGCGGGAGGCAGCAGUGGGGAAUUUUGGACAAUGGGCGCAAGCCUGAUCCAGCAAUGCCGCGUGAGUGAAGAAGGCCUUCGGGUUGUAAGCUCUUUUGUCAGGGAAGAAACGGCUGAGGUUAAUACCUUCGGCUAAUGACGGUACCUGAAGAAUAAGCACCGGCUAACUACGUGCCAGCCGCCGCCGUAA